rnacentral:rRNA from 1 species
UACGUAGGGUGCAAGCGUUGUCCGGAAUUAUUGGGCGUAAAGAGCUCGUAGGCGGUCUGUCACGUCGGCUGUGAAAUCCCGAGGCUCAACCUCGGGUCUGCAGUCGAUACGGGCAAACUAGAGUAUUGCAGGGGAGACUGGAAUUCCUGGUGUAGCGGUGAAAUGCGCAGAUAUCAGGAGGAACACCGGUGGCGAAGGCGGGUCUCUGGGCAAUGAACUGACGUUGAGGAGCGAAAGCGUGGGGAGCGAACAGG